UGUCACUGUAGGCUGUGGUGCUUCCAGAUCUAAGAUUCACUGGUCCACAAUUGAGCGAUGAUUCCUCUGUGGCUGUUUCACUCUCUGGGAGGCUCCAAGUUCAAAAGGGCCAUCCCUGUCAGCGCUGACCUCAUGAAGAGCAUGAGGUGCCGCGUGGGUGCUUAGCGGGAUUUGUUUUAUCAUCCUCAUCAAUAACAGGGGAAACUGAGGCUUUUGACUCGCAGGUUAGAUGCUGUGUGAUAACGCUGUGUCAGCCACUGAGAGCGAGCGGGCUGACCGCCAUUUCUCCUUUCCCCGCGGGGGAGGUUGCUUCUGCUCUAGCUGUUUGCUCAAUGCCUCCUAGUCACCGAAGCCUUAAAGGAAACAUUUAGUUACCGCUGCACUCAAGUUGGUUGCAUAAUAGGAAAGAAACAAGCCAGGACUGGAGACUUCAUCCCCACAGAAGCAUUUUAAGGCCAGCAAAGGGCUGUUUCACAGAGCCGGUCAUGACUCGGGACUCCCUCUAUACCCUUUCAUCGCUAUGACAACAGGCAGCCCCUACUUCACGCAGCCAGGAAAAGCAGCUGACAUCUCAAUGCUAGGAACACAGGGGAGAGGUUUACAAAAAACACAACCACCACCAUCAAAAAAAAGCCUUUUUGUUUGCCUGUCAACAGAGAGAACACCCCCCAGAGCAAGUCAAAACCUCUAUUCUUGCCUUCAAGAAAGAUCUGAAAGGAAAGUGUUGGGGCCAUUUCCCCUGGUCCAAAGAGACCCCUCCAGCAGGGCCCACUGCAGACUGGCAUGGCUCCUCUGAGCCUCCGGAAGGAAGGGCUGGCGCCUAGGGCACUCCCUUCUGAUAGACUUGGCCAUUGCAGAAGCUGCUAAAUGACAAAGCAGGGAGACUUAACAAACACCUUGUGCUGAGGUCCUAUGAUGGUUUCUUUUACGUUUCUUUGAAUAAAGAAAAGAUAACUUAGGAAAUAA
rnacentral:sRNA from 1 species